rnacentral:lncRNA from 1 species
GCCGUGCUUUGAGGGGCUUAGACAACUAGACAAAACUCAUGUUUAUUUAACAGAAGCAAAUAAACAAAUGAAACUUACAUAUGCAUAGUCUGAAGCUUCUGUGGGGCAUUCAUACAAAAGGAAAAAGGCAUUAACUAUCUGAUAGACAACUAGAACUCGCCCAUAUGUAGUAAGGAAAUCUCUCAUGCUAAUACCACCACCAGAAGCUCUAACACCAUUACCCGUAACUAGAACCACUGCAGGAAGAAUAAAUCCAGGUUAAAAACUGAAACUGAAGGAGGAAGAGAUUACCAUGAAGAGAUAUUACUCAACUACUGAAGUGGAAAAAUUACAGAGGAAACAAAAUUUCUAGCACCAAGAUGCAAGACCAAAUUGAGGUAUCAGUGAAUACCUUCUCAGUCAGGGAAGAAUGGAGCCUCUUAUCCUCUUCUCC